AAACUCUGUCUUCUCUCUCUCUCUUCUCUCCCUCUCACUCUCUCUAACCCUUGUCUCUCUCUCUCUAAUGCGGUGGUGAAGGCCGAUGACGGAGAUGCAGGUGACGGAAACCCUUGUCACUCCGUCUUCUCCGGCGACAUGUACAGGGUAAAUCGCUCCGUCUUCUCCGGCGACAUCACAUACCGAAGGUCCUCCGUCUUCUCCGGCGACAUCACAUACCGAAGGUCCUCAAUUCAACGGUUGGGGUUAGGGUUUCAGUGAGGGUGGUGAUGGUGGAGACGGCGGUGAAAGGGUGGUGAUGGUGGAGACGGUGAAAGGGUGGUGGGUUUAAUGGUGUUUGUUGCAAUUUGGGUCAAAAAAUUGAUUUAGAACAGGCAAGAACGAAACGUGACCGUGUGGUUCAAAAGUAAAAGCAUGAAAAGCUUUGGUGGCUGAAAUGAAGGAGGCAGCAUGAUUGCAGUCUACUUCGAAAUGGAUUAAUUUUGUUUUCUAUUCACCGUUAGUUGUGCCGAUUUAUUUUUCAAGCAUCUUUUUAGUUUAAUGUUAAAAGUGGAGUAUGAAGAUCAAUCUGAUAUGUGAUGUUGGUAAAAAUGAAAUUGAUACUUACUUUUGAUGUUAGAGAUAAUUUCCUUUUGAUGUUAAAGAUCAAUUUGAGUGA